rnacentral:rRNA from 1 species
AAUGAACGCUGGCGGCAGGCCUAAAACAUGCAAGUCGAACGCCCUAGCAAUAGGGAGUGGCGCACGGGUGAGUAACAUGUGGGAAUAUGCCUUUUGGUACGGAACAACGUUUGGAAACGAACGCUAAUACCGUAUGGUCCCUCCGGGGUAAAGAUUUAUCGCCAAAAGAUUAGCCCGCACUAGAUUAGCUAGUUGGUAAGGUAAUGGCUUACCAAGGCGACGAUCUAUAGCUGUUCUGAGAGGAAGAUCAGCCACACUGGGACUGAGACACGGCCCAGACUCCUACGGGAGGCAGCAGUUAGGAAUAUUGGACAAUGGGCGCAAGCCUGAUCCAGCCAUGCCGCGUGAGUGAUGAAGGCCUUCGGGUUGUAAAGCUCUUUAGUCCACGAAUAUAAUGACUGUAGUGGAAGAAUAAGCCCCGGCUAACUUCGUGCCAGCAGCCGCCGUAAUAC